GCUGCUGCUGCUGCUGUAGUUUUUUGCCUAGUAAGGGCCUGGAGGAGGAGGUUGUUCUGCCUCACCAAGGCCUUCAACUCCUCCACAGCACGCAGGAGUGCAUGAUCCCGUUCUACAGGACAGAAAAACAUCAUGACUGUCAUGUCAAGAGUUCAUACGCGCUGCAUCAUAAUUGGCUGUUGAAGACAACAAUGAAGUCUCAUCUGGCAUAGCGCUUUGGAUGACUGCAAUUUUCGUCCGCUUGGUGUCUUUAUACGGUGGCCAAAAAGACACCUUGCCGUCCAAACUUAGCCACGAGCAAGGCACAACCUCCACCUCGUUUGACUCGGUUCCCAACCACAGCUGUCCCCAGUGCAGUUGAAUCAACAGGGUGGUUGAAAAAUGGACGUUGGUCUAAAUAUUGCCUCGCCACAAAAGACGUACCACCAAGUGUCCUGCUAAUUGCCUCUAUUUUAAAAGUGGCACCACCACACGAAACUGUGUUGUUCCCAUCCUUUGUGGACAGGUUCCCAUCUCUCAGACUUACCUGAUCCUCCAUCCAAACUCUGAUGUUGGAAUCCAUGCUGUCCAGUCCAUGUGAAGAGCACAGGAAGGCUUGUUGCAGCACACUUAAUAGUAGGGUAUCACCAUAUGUCUGGUUGAGCUCCACAAAAGAUCUCGUCUGGCUCAGCUGUUUGAAGCGCAUCUACCUAAAUGUGUCAUUGUAAGGUGGUCUCCCUCUCCCUCCCCACCUCUCUCCCUCCCCACCUCCCUCUCUCCCUCCCCACCUCCCUCUCUCCCUCCCCACCUCC